rnacentral:rRNA from 1 species
GAUGAACGCUGGCGGCGUGCCUAAUACAUGCAAGUCGAGCGAAUGGAUUAAGAGCUUGCUCUUAUGAAGUUAGCGGCGGACGGGUGAGUAACACGUGGGUAACCUGCCCAUAAGACUGGGAUAACUCCGGGAAACCGGGGCUAAUACCGGAUAACAUUUUGAACCGCAUGGUUCAAAAUUGAAAGGCGGCUUCGGCUGUCACUUAUGGAUGGACCCGCGUCGCAUUAGCUAGUUGGUGAGGUACGGCUCACCAAGGCAACGAUGCGUAGCCGAGCUGAGAGGGUGAUCGGCCACACUGGGACUGAGGCACGGCCCAGACGCCUACGGGAGGCAGCAGUAGGGAAUCUUCCGCAAUGGACGAAAGUCUGACGGAGCAACGCCGCGUGAGUGAUGAAGGCUUUCGGGUCGUAAAACUCUGUUGUUAGGGAAGAACAAGUGCUAGUUGAAUAAGCUGGCACCUUGACGGUACCUAACCAGAAAGCCACGGCUAACUACGUGCCAGCCGCCGCCGUAA